rnacentral:rRNA from 1 species
UACGUAGGGGGCUAGCGUUGUCCGGAAUUACUGGGCGUAAAGGGCGCGUAGGCGGCACUGUUAGUCAGGCGUGAAAUUCCUGGGCUCAACCUGGGGACUGCGCUUGAUACGGCAGAGCUUGAGGAUGGAAGAGGGUCGCGGAAUUCCCAGUGUAGAGGUGAAAUUCGUAGAUAUCUGGAGGAACACCGGUGGCGAAGGCGGCGUCCUGGACCAAUACUGACACUGAAACGCGAAAGCCAGGGGAGCAAACGGG